rnacentral:rRNA from 1 species
UACGUAGGUGGCGAGCGUUGUCCGGAAUUACUGGGUGUAAAGGGCGUGUAGGCGGCAUAUUAAGUCAGAUGUGAAAUUCCCGGGCUUAACCCGGGCGCUGCAUUUGAAACUGAUGUGCUUGAGUGCAGGAGAGGAAAGCGGAAUUCCUAGUGUAGCGGUGAAAUGCGUAGAUAUUAGGAGGAACACCAGUGGCGAAGGCGGCUUUCUGGACUGUAACUGACGCUGAGACGCGAAAGCGUGGGGAG